GAUGAAGAACGUAGCGAAAUGCGAUAAGUAGUGUGAAUUGCAGAAUUCCGUGAAUCAUCGAAUCUUUGAACGCACAUUGCGCCCCCUGGUAUUCCGGGGGGGCAUGCCUGUCCGAGCGUCAUUGCAACCUUCAAGCGCGGCUUGUGUGUUGGGUCUCGUCCCCCGUGGACGGGCCCGAAAGGCAGUGGCGGCGUCCCGACAUGGUGCCCGAGCGUAUGGGAAUCCUCUUCCGCUCGAAUCGGCCCAUGCGGCGCUGGUCGUAACCAAAUUUUUUACCGGUUGACCUCGGAUCAGGUAGGGAUACCCGCUGAACUUAAGCAUAUCAAUAAGCGGAGGA
rnacentral:misc_RNA from 1 species